GCUUACGGCCAUACCACCCUGAGCACGCCUGACCUCGUCUGAUCUCGGAAGCUAAGCAGGGUCGGGCCUGGUUAGUACUUGGAUGGGAGACCGCCUGGGAAUACCAGGUGCUGUAAGCU
rnacentral:rRNA from 1 species